AGGAGGGUGGAAGUAUGGCGUAUUCUUCCUUCUCGUUGGAUGUCAUGCAUUAAAGUUGUUUCGAUAUUUGCUGUAUCUGAAACGGAAUCAUUGACGGAUAUUCUCAGUGAAUUUUUCAACAUUUUAUUUUCUGAUUUCUCUGAUUAUAUUUAUUCUAGAUCCAAGUUAUACAUAUUUAUAUAGAGGUUAACAGCACUGCAGGA
rnacentral:lncRNA from 1 species